rnacentral:rRNA from 1 species
AGUGAACGCUGGCGGUAGGCCUAACACAUGCAAGUCGAACGGCAGCACAGUAAGAGCUUGCUCUUACGGGUGGCGAGUGGCGGACGGGUGAGGAAUACAUCGGAAUCUACUUUUUCGUGGGGGAUAACGUAGGGAAACUUACGCUAAUACCGCAUACGACCUACGGGUGAAAGCAGGGGAUCUUCGGACCUUGCGCGAUUGAAUGAGCCGAUGUCGGAUUAGCUAGUUGGCGGGGUAAAGGCCCACCAAGGCGACGAUCCGUAGCUGGUCUGAGAGGAUGAUCAGCCACACUGGAACUGAGACACGGUCCAGACUCCUACGGGAGGCAGCAGUGGGGAAUAUUGGACAAUGGGCGCAAGCCUGAUCCAGCCAUACCGCGUGGGUGAAGAAGGCCUUCGGGUUGUAAAGCCCUUUUGUUGGGAAAGAAAAGCAGCAGGUUAAUACACCGCUGUUUUGACGGUACCCAAAGAAUAAGCACCGGCUAACUUCGUG